rnacentral:misc_RNA from 1 species
AGCUGGAUCAUUUUCCGAUAUCCAAAAACAACAACAACCAUUUGGUCCCUCACCUCCUGGCCUUUAUGAGGGGGAGGAUACUGAGAUUUUUUACAAUGGACCACCAAACAAUAUUCACACUCUCUUUUUCACCACUUCUUUGAAAGUUGGAGAGAGAGAGUGUGUCAUGCCGCUUCACGCGCGCUAAAGAAAAAAAAGUUCGCUUUUGUUUUUCUUUUCCGUGUGAUGCACGGCUUCCACAACGUGUCGCGAUGGAUGACUUGGCUUCCCAUUUCGUUGAAGAACGCAGCAAAGUGCGAUAAGUGGUAUCAAUUGCAGAAUCACCCUAUUACCGAAUCUUUGAACGCAAAAGGCGCCCGGGAGAAGCUCUUUCCAAGCGAACCCCGUGCAUGCCGUAUUCUCAGUGUCGAACAAACCACAAAACCUCCAAAGAAAGAAAAAAAGUGUCUUUUCACUUUUUCUUUUCUUCUUUUCGGAGAACAUGAGAGUCUUGGAUUGGGCUCUUUAAAGCAUUUUCCGAAAGUUUACACUUUUGUUGAGAAUGUUUUCAUCGAGUUCGCCAAGUGGUUGCUCUGGACGUUAAAACUCUUUUUUUCGUUCUCCAAUGGGCAAACAAAGAAUUGAAAAAACAGUGGCUCUCGAAGAAAGAGAGAGAGAGAGAUCGAGGAGCACUUAAAACCUGCUCCUCUCUUUCUCCUUUUUUCACUUCGUCUACUGCAAAAAAAGUUCAUUCUUUUGUUCACAGACCUGAGUACGGCAGGACUACCCGCCGAACUUAAGCAUAUUACUCAGCGGAGGAAAAGAAAACAACCGUGAUUCCCUCAGUCAGCGGCGAGCGAAGAGGGGUCCAACCCGUUGCCGAAUCGGGCCUCAACGGCCUUGAGUUGUGGCAAAAACGCCGUUUUGUGAUUGGUGCUGGGAUUGGCAAAAUUCAAGUUGCAAAGCAAACCCUGCUGAACACAACCUUUCAUGUGAGUAUUGAGCCCUAGAAGGUGGUAGCCCAUUUCGCCAAAAACCCGAACCUCAUUAAACGGUACCAAGAGAGUAGCACUGCUUGGGAGUGCAGUGUCAAGCGGCAGGUAUGUGUCUGCCAAGGUUAAACACAGAGUGGGAAGACCGAUAUCGAACAAGUAGCGUGAGCGAAAGUUUGAAAAGCACUUUGGAAAGAGAGUGACAUAGAACCUGAAGUCGUGACAAUGAUAAUGGAAGUACCUCCAUUUCUCUGGCCAGAGCCAGCCCUCAAGCACUCUCCGCGCAAGACGUCAAAAAUCUCGUGCGGCAACAGCUGCUAAACUUGGGCUUUGGUUGAUAGGAGCGGAGCUAAAGUUGGGUACACAUACGUGCGAGGCCCUUCUUCUCCGUGACGCUCGAAAUGUUGGCAAACUCGAAAUGGGGUGCCUCCACCCGUCUUGAAACACGGACCAAGGAGUCAAACAGACGCGCAAGGGAGAAGAUAUUGUUGCCAGUACUUCUCUCGUACUGAAAGGGUUUCGUUUUGUUGGUGUGCACUUUAUUGCUCAACACCGGCCGGCCCCUUGUGGGUUGAGUCUGAGUGUGCCUGUUUGGACCCGAAAGGUGGUGAACUAUGCCUGAACAAGGUGAAGCCCGGGGAAACCCAGGUGGAGGCCUGUAGCGAUGCUGACGUGCAAAUCGCUCGCAUGAUUUGGGUAUCGGAGCGAAAGACUCAUCGAACCACCUAGUAGCUGGUUCACAU